AUGGAUGACAUGUAUCCUCGAGUUUCUUACUCAGACCUGGCCCAGGCAACAGAUGGCCUCACAGACAAUAAUAUAGUUGCCACAGGAUGGUAUGGAUGUGUUUAUAAGGGCAGGCUGCUGCUGAAAGAGUCCGUAAUUACUGUCGCUGUGAAGGUUUUUGACGCUGAGCAAUCUGGAUCUUCAAAAAGUUUUGUGGCUGAGUGUAAGGUGCUUAGCAAAAUUCGCCACCGGAAUUUGAUUGGUAUCAGAACUUGCUGCUCUGGCUUGAACCAAAAUGACUUCAAAGCCAUUGUAUUUGAUUUCAUGCCUCACGGUGAUCUUGAUAAGUGGUUACAUCAGGACACAUAUGCACCUAAUUCAGUCAAAGUUCUAACACUAAUGCAGAGACUGAGCAUUGUCGCUGAUAUUGGGCGGCACUAG
rnacentral:rRNA from 1 species